UACGGAGGGAGCUAGCGUUGUUCGGAAUUACUGGGCGUAAAGCGCACGUAGGCGGCUUUGUAAGUUAGAGGUGAAAGCCCGGAGCUCAACUCCGGAACUGCCUUUAAGACUGCAUCGCUUGAAUCCAGGAGAGGUGAGUGGAAUUCCGAGUGUAGAGGUGAAAUUCGUAGAUAUUCGGAAGAACACCAGUGGCGAAGGCGGCUCACUGGACCGAGACUGACGCUGAGGCGCGAAAGCGUGGGGAGCAAACAGG
rnacentral:rRNA from 1 species